GGGGGGGGGGGGGGGGGGGGGGGGGGGGGGCGGGGCGGGGGGGGGAAGGGGGCUGGCUCCUGGAGUCAGCGGCGGACGGGGGAGUAAUGCCUAGGAAUCUGCCUGGGAGUGGGGGAUAACGUCCGGAAACGGGCGCUAAUACCGCAUACGUCCUGAGGGAGAAAGUGGGGGAUCUUCGGACCUCACGCUAUCAGAUGAGCCUAGGUCGGAUUAGCUAGUUGGUGGGGUAAAGGCCUACCAAGGCGACGAUCCGUAACUGGUCUGAGAGGAUGAUCAGUCACACUGGAACUGAGACACGGUCCAGACUCCUACGGGAGGCAGCAGUGGGGAAUAUUGGACAAUGGGCGAAAGCCUGAUCCAGCCAUGCCGCGUGUGUGAAGAAGGGCUUCGGAUUGUAAAGCACUUUAAGUUGGGAGGAAGGGCAGUAAGUUAAUACCUUGCUGUUUUGACGCUACCAACAGAAUAAGCACCGGCUAACUUCGU
rnacentral:rRNA from 1 species